UCCCCCGUGGCGCAAUUGGCUAGCGCGUCAGACUGUUAUCCUGACAGAUUAUCUGGAGGCUGGUGGUUCGAGCCCACCCGGGGGAG